UGGUUGUGCAGUUGCAGUUUUAAUUGUUUGUACAGUUGGAAUAGCAAAACUAUAAUUCUAGAAAUGAUCCCCCCCAAAUUAAUUUGUUCAUUAAUUUUGCAGGAGUUUGUUCUGGCAACCUUGCAUUACCUAAAUUAAAUCAGAUUUAUGUAGAGCCUGUGUGUUAAUAACAGUUCUCAGACUGUUUUUUCUUUACUUUUUAAAUAAUAAUAAUGCCUAUCUAUGAUAUUUACCGCUAGCUUCGAUCCUUUACUGCAAAAGAAAAUCGACGCUAAGUGAUGGUCUGAUAGGUAUGAUUACAUGCCUACCAGAGGGUUAACGUGGACAAAUAAAUUACUUAUCAUCACGAGUGAGCACAAAAUUAUAGCAAAGGAAGAUGAGUAAUGAGUUGUCGUCUCAGGAGUUAUAGUGCAAUUUGGGUUGCCUAUCCCUACAGUAGCGUUUUGAUUUUUUUCUGAAGGUCGCCAAACUUAUUUUUUUAAAUGUGCUGACGAAUAAAAAAGAAUUCCACAAAAAUUAGGGUAUAAGAUUCUAAAAAAUCGUUUCGUUUAAAAAUUUAGAAUUAGGACUGUUGUCAACAAGUUGGUAUUGAUCCAUGGAUGUCGCAUCAUUACUUAUUCGUGUCCCAUGAUACACAGCGUGACAUAUACUAAUCAAUAAUGGUUUUAAUAUUAAAUUAACCUCUAUAAAUCAAUGAAACGCUUAGAAAGCGCGCGAUUUCGAAUUCCAAAGCAUAAACGCCGGUCGAAUCGGGGACGUACGCGUAAUUUACGUUGCGUUACGACAAUGAUUUUAAAAAUACUAAGUCGAGCGUUACGGUCGAGGUGGGGCCGCGUCCUUCAGAUCGAGGCAAAGAAAGAGGCGGCAAACGGAAUUUGAAGAUAUUUUGCCGCUCAAACGCUACGCUAUACGACUAGGUAGGUCAGAGAGUAACAGGUAGAAAACAUUACAGUUAAAAGCUAAUGGGAGAACUAGGCGUGCCUCUACUAAUUAUCUAAUCAAACAAAUGCGUAAUUCGGUCGUGUUGUUUACUCACAAGGAGGACAUUUAAAGCGAGUUCAUCUCCUGGUGCUGAGACGAAAUGGAAUCGCCAACAAGUUCGGAUCUUCUACCCGAGAAAAACAUGCCAAUUUUCGACGAUCCGGUCAAGAAGCAGCCACAGAGCUACGGAUAUUCAAAGUGUACGUUGCAACGACGCUCGGAACGCGUAAACACGUUAAUUUCCAGUGAGCAUCGUUCUGCAAGUCACCUUUUUCGUGCUGAAACUGAUCAUGUUUAUCUCCGGUGUUAUUAACGUAAACGACUGCCCUCAGCAGCCCAUGGUGCAUAUCUAUCUUAUCGUUACGGGUAUUUUGGGAGUGGUCACAAAGUGUAUGUACAUAAUUAAUUGCAAAUACGAAAUCAAAGCGCUCCAUUACACUAUUAAUUUUCUAAGACUAGUCGAGUUCUUGUGGAUGAUUAUUGGGUGCUACUGUAUCUUUUCGAUCUACCAGCCCAAUUAUUCGCCAUACUUUGACCGGAAAUACUGCGAUCGGCACGGGUACCUAACGGCCUUCGCUCUCUUAAUAUUACACUUACUUUAUUUUGUUUGCGUUACAAUUAUGACACUCACAAAGUUUUCUAACGCGUGGUGAGUUUCGACAAUUAACCAUUAAUUAGUUAGUAGACAAUGUACAAUCAAACGCAUCUCAGGCAAUAAUGACACUCACUGUGAUACGUUUCAUCCCCACUGUUAUGUUUUUUUGAUAAUAAAUAUAUUUCUGUAAUAAUAAUAACAAUCUUUAUUCGUCGGAUUACACUAAAUAUAUUCAAACAUAUUCAGUGAUACAAAGAAACAAAAUACCAGAACACAUCCUUGUGAUUGCUGACACGUACGAUCACCGACAAAAAUAAUGAUAAAAUGAAGCUAACUGCCGCUUAGGCAACCAACCAUACACUAUACAAAAUGGCAACAUUGGAAGGGCGUGAUGGAGCAUGCUUUGGUGUUUUCCUUGGAUCGCCUCAUACGUCAUGGUGCUAAGAGCCAAGAUUAUCUUCUGGAGGCCGUUUACCUGCUGAAUGUUGAUAACACACGGAAUUUGUGGUGCUGUUAUUAGUGAUUGUCGAUCAAUUAUAUUUAAUUUUUUCGACUGAACUCGAUAGAAUUUAAUUACGUCUACGCAA